rnacentral:rRNA from 1 species
GAUGAACGCUGGCGGCGUGCCUAAUACAUGCAAGUCGAGCGAACAGAUAAGGAGCUUGCUCCUUUGAAGUUAGCGGCGGACGGGUGAGUAACACGUGGGUAACCUACCUAUAAGACUGGGAUAACUUCGGGAAACCGGAGCUAAUACCGGAUAACAUUUAGAACCGCAUGGUUCUAAAGUGAAAGAUGGUUUUGCUAUCACUUAUAGAUGGACCCGCGCCGUAUUAGCUGGUUGGUAAGGUAACGGCUUACCAAGGCGACGAUACGUAGCCGACCUGAGAGGGUGAUCGGCCACACUGGAACUGAGACACGGUCCAGACUCCUACGGGAGGCAGCAGUAGGGAAUCUUCCGCAAUGGGCGAAAGCCUGACGGAGCAACGCCGCGUGAGUGAUGAAGGGUUUCGGCUCGUAAAACUCUGUUAUUAGGGAAGAACAAAUGUGUAAGUAACUGUGCAUAUCUUGACGGUACCUAAUCAGAAAGCCACGGCUAACUACGUGCCAGCCGCCACGGUAA